UAUUGGAGUAUGUUUAGGCUAUUCCUAACUGCUCUAUUUCAUGCAUGUGGUUAGGUUGAAAUUUGAUUAUAUAUUUUUAGUUCAAUUGAGGGUUGUCAUGGAUGUGACUUGCAUGGGAAUUGCAUGUCCUAACAUAUCAUCCCCCUCAUUAAUAUGAUGCCAUACUAUUAUUCGAUCUACUACUAAGGUUACUGCUCCUUUACUCGUUUCCUUACAAUCGUAUUUUUGCUUUUUAUCCAGGCCAUUGACAUAAGGGAUGCUCUGGCAAAGUCAAUUUAUGCAUGUCUUUUUGAAUGGUUGGUGGAACAAAUUAACAAAUCACUUGCAGUAGGGAAAUGGCGUACUGGAAGAUCCAUCAACAUUCUUGAUAUUUAUGACUUUGAAUCAUUCGAUAGGAAUAGUUUUGAACAGUUUUGCAUUAAUUAUGCAAACGAGAGAUUGUAGCAACACUUCAAUCGUCAUUUAUUCAAGUUAGAGCAGGAGCAUUGAAGCAGCUUGUGUCGCACACCCUAUUGCUGAUGUCUUUAUCAACUUUGCUUCAUUUAGAAG